GGACAGGGGCGGGCGCCCCGGCUGUCGCAUGUCGCAGAGUUGCUCGUGGGAGGGAGGAGGUUGCUAUGCAAAUGCUCUGGCCUCCGUGGCACUGACUGUCCCUCGGCUGGCAUGUACCAGUGCCUUGUUCUACGGUGAUGUCUCACGGGGCAUGUCCUGUCAUCUGGUGUCCAGCAGAGUUGAGCAUCUCAGAGCAUGUAACCUCCGCAAACCGGCUUUCUCACAGCCUUCCGGGGAGGCGGGGAUGGACGAGAAUCAAAUGCUUGUUGUCGUCUUAAGAUUUUUGCUUUUAACUGAGUGCAUAUGUGUGUGUCUGGGUGCCGGUAUGCACACGUGAGUUCCAGCGCCCACAGGGCAUCAGGCCUCCUGGGGCUGGAGUGACAGGUGGUUAUGAAUGCUCAUGUGGUGCCUGAGAACUGAAUUCUGGUCCUCUGCAGACCAUAAGGACUCUUCACAAUUAGAACUGUUUCUCAGGCAUGAACAUCCUGUUCUUCAUGUUCAUGUGUUGAUGACUUUCACCACAAUGAAAUAUUAAGCUUUGUCCCUUCAGCUGGCAUGCCUGUGGUGUGUGCCCGGAACCAUGUGGAUUGCUAUGGCCAGAACAGGGGAAGGCCACGUUCCUUUUCCCCUUUAUAAUGUAGUCAUCUUGAUGCUUUGCAACAUCAGCGAGUGCUGAAAUGUAGAUACUGAUACAGGACCUCUGAUAGCCACAAGCACAAGAAGAACACUUGACUGGGGUAGCAAACGCUGUCUCAAGGGAAAGCUCUUUUUCCCAAGUGCUAGGAUUACAGGGAGCCAUCAUACCUGGUUUAGACAUAUUUAAACAUAACCGGUGAGAACUCUAGCCCGUCUAAGACAUCUGUUUGUUCCACGGUGGGUAGUUCUGGCAUCGGAAAUGCCAGCUGACCAAACCAAGUAGUGCAGAGUGGGCUUUUCUCCCUAGGUGGAGAAGAACUGGGGGACAGGGCAGGGUGUGCUGAAGCCUAUCUGUGAUACCAAUGCUAGGGAGGUAGAAGCAAGAGGAGCCUGGGUUCAAAGCCAUCCUUGCUACAUAGGAAAUCUGGGAUCAUUCUUAGCUGCACAUGACCCUGGGACCCUGCUCUGAGCAGCUGAGGGGCCUAGGACAGGCAGGCCACUCAGUAUCUCUGGGCUUUGUUUUAUCCACUGGGAACUAAGUCAAAGGAGACAGAAGGGCGGAGCAGCGGGCCUGCCACCAGUGACAUCUAUUUAAGUCUACAGCGUCUUAUCUAUGACUCCAAAUGCCUAGAAGGACUGAAGACAAAAUAUAUUUAGCACAGAGACCUGAGCUGAGCUGACAAAGGACCGGCUGUUUUCAUUCCCUCACGUGAAAGUCUAAAGAGUUCUCUUCAGCGACAUCACGGUUUGAUUAUAGUGUGCAGACCAUACCCCGUGGGGCUGUUAUGGUCUGGCUCUGGGUUGCUUUUCUGAACUCCAAAAGACUGGAUGAUAAGCCAGGUGUGGGGCUAACCUGUAAUUCCAGUACUUGGGAGAUGAAGGCAGGAGAAUGAGGAGUUUAAGGCUAGCCUAGGACAUAUAAGUUGUGGGAAGCCAGCCUGAGCUACAUGAGAACAGUUUUUUUUUUUUUAAUAAAUAAAAAUGGGCCU
rnacentral:lncRNA from 1 species